rnacentral:tRNA from 1 species
GCGAGUGUAACGGGGCCUUGAAACCGCUCAUUUCGUCCGGCCUGUCACGCCGGAGGUCGCGGGUUCGAGCCCCGUCACUCCCGCCA